GACUUAACACACCACUUUGGGUUUUCUAGAGCAGGCUAGCUUGCCAAACCCCGCGGGCGGGGCACCUUACUCUCUUCCCGCUAAAUAGGUAACUGCUUUUCCACAGGCAGUAGAACUCCUCUGCUCCAGGUUGCCUUCCCCCUCUCCUUGUGGCCAGCCUCUACUGUACUUCACAGACACUCCUUGAAACACCUUCGACCUUUUCCAUGCCUGCCAACAGCCUGCUUUGCCGUUACUCUGCACACUGCCACUUCCUUUUCAAAGCUGGACCACAGGCUGCGCUUCCAACAUGGCCGUCAGCCUCGCAACCCCAGAAGUUUGGAUAUCAAAAGCAAGAGAAGAGGUCCAACGGCAUUGAGUAGAGGCACCAGAGUUGUCCAUAACUAUGUCACACUGAACGGGACAGUCCCUGAAGAUGACAGGUCUCCAGCCACAUUGUAAUAGAGCGAGGAGUGGUAAAGAGUGGUUCAAGACGUCAAGGUGUUGGAACAUUCUCCAAGGUCCUAAGAAAAAGCAUGUUCAUACGGUCUCUUCUGUACCGCCUUCCAGUCAGUAGGAGCCGAUGCAGCCACAGCAGCUCUAAUUACUGACUGUACGACGGCUAGAAAAUAAUCACUUUCUUGCAAAGAAACUUCUCACUUGGCAGAAAGAAAAAUCAAUCCCAGAUUCUGACUGGCCGAGCUCUCCCCAACAUAUAGCAAAGCGCUCUGGACUGGAAGCAGCGUGCAAACGGCAGCUACACAAACCCCGAGAGCCUGGGAAGGGAGUGCGUUGAUUCAUCACCUCUGGGAAAUCAGAGGACUCUUCUUAAUUUAAUCUCUCUUCAACUCUAAAGAUUGGCUCUGUCACCCUUGUUCUUCAGAUAGGCGUAGGCUACGGUCAGAAAGAAGUUUCCAGAUACCUAUCUGUGCUCAACCCUUGUCCCCGCUCAUAUCUGCAACUGCAAAUUUGGUCGUGAAUAUGUGAAAACAGAUAUUAACCAGACACCGAGGGGUGAAGACAAGGCUAGGGGAGUUGACUCCAGCUGUCUAAGUAAGUCAUGUUGACAACCAGCUUGGCAUGAACUCAAUGACCUUUGGAAAAAAUCCCCAUUGUCUAUGCCACCAAGCACCUCCAAUUAAGCCAGGUUUGUGGCUGAAUGUCAAGUGGAUAAACAGACUCAGAGCAGGAGCAAAUGCUGGAUGGACCUCUAUUAACGUGACAGCUCUCUCGCUAAUAUU